rnacentral:rRNA from 1 species
CGUGAUUGGGAUAGGGGCUUGCAAUUGUUCCCCUUGAACGAGGAAUUCCCAGUAAGCGCGAGUCAUAAGCUCGCGUUGAUUACGUCCC